AUUGAACGCUGGCGGCAGGCCUAACACAUGCAAGUCGAGCGGAAACGGCAAUAAAGAUUCUUCGGAUGAUUUAUUGGACGUCGAGCGGCGGACGGGUGAGUAAUGCUUAGGAAUUUGCCCAGUUGAGGGGGAUAACUAUUGGAAACGAUAGCUAAUACCGCAUACGCUCCUUUCUGUGAAAAGAGAGGAGGAAAGAGGGGGACCUUCGGGCCUCUCGCGAUUGGAUAAGCCUAAGUGAGAUUAGCUAGUUGGUGAGGUAAUGGCUCACCAAGGCGACGAUCUCUAGCUGGUCUGAGAGGAUGAUCAGCCACACUGGAACUGAGACACGGUCCAG
rnacentral:rRNA from 1 species